CCCAUUUGAAGACCCGGAUGACCCCAAGAAUAUACGCAAGACCAUUCAGGUGACAGGCUAUAGUAAAUGCUAUAGAUAUACCAUCCAAUGUCCGCUAGCAUUUCCCUUUCUCCAUAUCACUUUACCCUCAUUCCAGUCUCUUUUCACCUGCAGCAAAUAAUGCAAGUGCAAUACGAUAUACCAGAUUAUGUCCACAUAUCUACGGAAUGCAAGCAACUUAUCGCGCGUAUCUUUGUUGCCAAUCCAAUGAGGGUAAUUAUCUCAACAUGUACAUUACUCUCAUGAUACGUCUCAAUACAAGUGGUAUAGCAUGGACUGCUGUAAUGUUGUCGAUUUUUAUGCCAUAUUUUUUUACAACUAUUUCCAGAGAAUCACAAUGAAGGAAAUAAAGAGCCAUCCAUGGUUCCUAAAGAACCUGCCACGGGAACUCACUGAGACGGCACAAGCCAUGUACUACAGGAGAGAUAACAGGGUACCUUCUUAUUCAGAUCAAACAUCAGAAGAAAUCAUGAAGAUUGUCCAAGAUGCAAGGACCAUGCUGAAAUCAUCCAGAUCAGGUUACGUGUCGAGCACCGAGUGUUCGGAUGAGGAAGAAGAGAAGGAAGAGGAACGCAGACCAGAGGAG
rnacentral:lncRNA from 1 species